CCUACGGGAGACAGCAGUGAGGAAUAUUGGUCAAUGGGCGCUAGCCUGAACCAGCCAAGUAGCGUGAAGGAUGACUGCCCUAUGGGUUGUAAACUUCUUUUAUAUGGGAAUAAAGUGCAGUAUGUAUACUGCUUUGCAUGUACCUUAUGAAUAAGGAUCGGCUAACUCCGUGCCAGCAGCCGCGGUAAUACGGAGGAUUCGAGCGUUAUCCGGAUUUAUUGGGUUUAAAGGGAGCGUAGGCGGGUUGUUAAGUCAGUUGUGAAAGUUUGCGGCUCAACCGUAAAAUUGCAGUUGAUACUGGCAGCCUUGAGUACAGUAGAGGUAGGCGGAAUUCGUGGUGUAGCGGUGAAAUGCUUAGAUAUCACGAAGAACUCCGAUUGCGAAGGCAGCCUGCUGGACUGUAACUGACGCUGAUGCUCGAAAGUGUGGGUAUCAAACAGGAUUAGAUACCCGGGUAGUC
rnacentral:rRNA from 1 species